GGACUGGGGGUUUCUACCUGAUCCGAGGUCACCUUUAAAAAUUGGGGGUUUAGCGGCUGGAGCACGCCGGGACGAUCCGAACGAGGUUCGCGUUUUACCGCGUUUUACUGCGCUCAGUGUACCGACGAGCCCGCCGAUGAACUUGGGGGCCCCGGGCCGCCCCUUCGCCGCCCCCCCCCCCCCCGCGCCGACCCCCCCCCCCCCCACCCCCCCCCCCCACCCCCCCCCCCCCCGCCCCACCCCCCGCACCCCCCCCCCCCCACCCCCCACCCCCCCCCCCCACCCCCCCCCCCCCCCGCCCCGGCCGGCCCCCCCCCCCCCCCCCCCCCCCCCCUCCCCCCGCCCCCCCCCCACACCCCCCCCCCCCCCCCCCGACCCCCCCCCCCCCCCGCCUCCCCCCCCCCCCCACCGGCACCUGCCCCCCCCCCCCCCCCGCAAGAAAGCCCCCCCCCCGCCCCGGCACCCCCCCCCCCCCCCCGCCACCUCCCCGUCCCCCGCCGAAAGGAUCAUUACUGAGUUGAAAAACUCCACCCUGUGAACAUAACCUCUGUCGUUGCUUCGGCGGGCACCCCCCCGAGGUUCAAACUCUUAUUUUUUCAGUAUCUCUGAGCCUGAAAGACAAAUAAUCAAACUUUCACAACGGAUCUCUUGGUUCUGGCAUCCAUGAAGAACGCGCGAAAUGCGAUAAGUAAUGGUGAAUUGCAGAAUUCGUGGAAUCUCCAAUCUUUGAAGCCAUUGCGCCCCCGCUAUUCGGCGGGCAUGCCGGUUCAGCGUCUUUCCCCCGCCUCGCUUGGUGGUUGGGGGGGCCCCCCGCCCCCCC
rnacentral:misc_RNA from 1 species